AUAUCUCUCCGUACGGGAAGGAUGAGAAGCUUCGACUAAGGUUCGAUUCGAGCGCAGCGAGAACGCGUUGCCGCAGGCAACGACCCGAAGGGCGAAGCGCAUCCUUCCCCCACCACCA
rnacentral:sRNA from 1 species